rnacentral:rRNA from 1 species
UACGGGGGGGGCAAGCGUUGUUCGGAAUUACUGGGAGUAAAGGGCGCGUAGGCGGCCUUCUAAGUCAGACGUGAAAUCCCUCGGCUCAACCGAGGAACUGCGUCUGAUACUGGAAGGCUUGAAUCCGGGAGAGGGAUGUGGAAUUCCAGGUGUAGCGGUGAAAUGCAUAGAUAUCUGGAGGAACACCGGUGGCGAAGGCGGCAUCCUGGACCGGUAUUGACGCUGAGGCGCGAAAGCUAGGGGAGCAAACGGG